AACAUGUCGCAUAACCUAGAUCGAAUCGAAGCCGAUAAAGCAAGUAAACGAAUUAUCUCUCAACGAUAGAGAGAUCGCAGGAAGAACAGGAAACAAAAUAUAGCGAAAGAAAUACCCUCGCUGGGCACCACGCGUCUAUCGCCAGGGGCAACAAGAGAUGCCCGGCGUGCGUGCGUCUCGCUUCUCGGACGCCUCUCGACCGGACCCUCUGCCGCGGACAUCCACUUGUUAGUUAGUCUGUGGCAGCUGAGUGGGGCGGUCGUGCCGGACGAGGCGCGGGAGAUACCUGUUGAUUUCUUUUUUUCUUGAGGAUAUAUAUUGAAAGUGUUCGUGUUAAAAGCACAGUUUGUUCUAUUUUCGCAUUCACGAUGGUGUCUUGAAGGAUACGAGGAGGAGUGUGAUAACCAAGGAAGCAGACGAAAUUGAUUUCCUGAUAGGAGUGUGAGUGAAUAAAUUGGUGCCCUGCGCACAAAAUACCCAGAGUGGAGAGAAGGGGGGGUUAUUAAGCCCACCAUGUUGCCGCCGACCCUACGAGAAACACCAUACCCCUGUGGAAUUAUACCAACAGACAUCUAGUACUGGUAUUACUCGAGACAGAAAACAGUGCGAUGUGGGAGAUGGAUUUCAAGAAGGAGGUUUCGGGGAUGUCAUCUCCCACAGGAGGAGAAGGAGGAGGAGGAGGAGGUCGACCUCGUCCUCAAUGCCACUUGCCUGCCCUCCACCCCACCAGUAUCCGAGGCAUAAAGACCACCGUCAGAUGGACCCUCUCCUUCGGGUGCCUGUGGAUGCUGCUGACGACGCCCCUCCUCGUCUGCGCGGAGUCCAAUGGUUGUGAUUUCUAUGGCAGCGGACUCGAGCAGGACGGCCGAGGAGUCCAGCCGGUGUACCUGAGCUGCUCCUCGGGCCGAGUCGAGUGGCAGUAUCCCCGCGCAGGACUCAGGGUCAUCCUCCGGUCCCCCCACAAGGACCGGGACUUCCAAGCCUGCAUCAAGGGGGACCCCAAGUUCGAAGGCGCCAGGGUCUAUCUCGAGGGUUACCGCUCUCUCCUGCCGCUGUUCGCCCUCGACGACGGCCGCCCUCAGGAGCUGGUGCGCUGCUUCACGAGCUACAAGGGCCAGGCGGCGCUGUACGUCGAGGCCGAGCCCAGCGCCGACGACCUGAAGAAGGAGGUCGCCGCCUUCGACUACGACCUGCAGACGCUCGCCAAGGGAAAGAUUUACGACCCGCUCGAAGAGUGCCGCCCGUGUUCGGAAGACGAGAUCCUCCGCCUCUACUGCUCGGGCGACUUCGUGGCUCGAGGAAGCAUCGAGCGCGUGGAGGACGACUCCGACCUCGCCACGACCACCAUCACCAUCCGGGCCUCGAAGCUCUUCCAGCAGACGUCGCCGGUGUUCAGACACGCCCACGCCCGCGAGAGAGACGAGAAGGCCUGGGAGAGCGCGUACGGCGUCAGCAACAGCAUCCGAGGGGGGGGAGGGGGAGUGGCGGAGUACACGGGCCGCGUCGACGUCCCCAUCCAGUGCGGGGCGCGGGCGGGCGAGGGGGAGUUCCUGGUGAUGGGCGUGAUGAGGCUGGGGAAGCCCAUCCUGCGGUGCGCGCCCAGACACUCCGAGUGGGUGAAGAUCGCCAAAGCCGCCCGGGCCAAUGCCCAGUGUGUGCUGGAAACGUGAGCGUUGUGCAAUUGCAAAAGACGCUUUCUAAGGACGUGAAGUUCCGUGCAAUUGCGAAAGACAGUUUUAUAAGGACGUGAAGUUCCGUGCAAUUGCAAAGGAAUUUCUUAAGGACGUGAAGUUCCGUGCAAUUGCAAAAGACGGUUUCUAAGUACGUGAAGGUUUGUGCAAUUGCGAAGGAGUUUCUUAAGGACAUGAAGUUUUGUGCAAUUGCGAAAGACAGUUUCCGGAGACGGUGGACUUCGUGCAGUAUAUUUUUUAAAAAGUUCUAGAAACAUUAGAUUUUAUGUUAUUGUAAAGUGAAUGUUCAAGGAACGGUAUAUAUUGUGCAAUUGCAAAAGACAUUUUCUAAAGACAUUUCUCUUGUGCAAUUGCUAAGGGGCAUCGCGGUGUUCCUAAUGUAGUCUUAAAGUGGAAGCGAUUCAGUGACAAAUGACACUCGAAGAUGAGUAACAAGAAGCUCAAUCGAUUAAAUAAUCCACUGAAAGGAGAAGAGACAAUUUUAAAAUAUAUAUCUUGGUGCAAUAAUAGUAGACAUUGCGAUUAACGAAUUUGCAAUGCUACAGCAACACUUUUGCUCCCAGUGUACAUAUACUGAACUUCUGACACAAUGGAAUCAAGGGGAGUGAAGUUCACAGUUUGAACGGAAAGAAAAUUUCUGCAGAGAGGAAUAGGUGUCCUAUGGGCCCCUUUAAACACGUCACACAAAAUCGUGAAACAACUUAAUAGAAAAUUUAUGAAUUGUCAGGUUCCAUGGGAUCUUUUCACAAGCUAAAAAGUUCCAUGAGGCUUUUCACGUGUUAAAAAGUCCCCAUGACGCUUUUCACAAGCUAAAAAAAGACCCCAUGAGGUUUUCACAAGCUAAAAAAAGACCCCAUGAGGUUUUCACAAGCUAAAAAAACGAGGCUUUUCACAAGCUAAAAAAAAAACAUGAGGUUUUCACAAGCUGAAAAAAGACUCUAUAAGGUUUUCACAAGCUAAACAAAGGACCCCAUGAGGCUUUUCACGAGCUAAAAGGCCACAUGAGAACCUAUCCUCUCCAACUUCAAAGGCCGAAACAGUCCCUUGCUUUUGGUGAUUGUAAUGGAUUUGGUUGUACCAAUUGCGGUUGUAAGUGUGUAAAGUGCCAUAGAUAGCACGUAAGGCCAGGCAGUCUCUUGUGUUUAUGAAGCGAUUCUUGAAUGUUUUAAAUACAGUCUCUUGUGGUUAUGGAAGUGACUCUUGAAUGAUUUUUUGAAGCAGAUUUUGUUUUUAUCAAACCGUCUGUGAUUUAGUAGUUACUGAAAAAAAAGUCCUGGACUGAUAUUAGAGAAGGUUUAUACGUUUAGUUUAUAUUCAUCCUGACAAAAAAGUCAAAUAUCCAAUUGUAUUAAUGUUCCACUGAAGCUAUUAGCUCUCGAAAAAAGUUAUUUUUUUCAUAUUUUUUAUAAAUGUAUAAAUUUGCUUUUCCUUUUAAACUUCGUAAAAAAAUAUUCUUAAAGUUGUCCUGUCGACCGCUUUCCAGGGUGUAUACUAACCACGGUAUCAUACAGCACCCUGCUUGUGUACAAAGCUUAGUAUAAUUCCUUCCGACUCUUGGAGGAAAGGAUAUAGCUCAUAGAAGGUCAUAAGAAAACAGUAGAGGUCCUAAGUGCAAUGUUUUUUUUUCCGCUGAUUUUAGGGACGCCAUUACUUGGUUGGGUCUGAGGAAACCUUUCAGAAAAAGAUGUUGGGACAAGCAAGUGUUCUAGCUCUUCUCUGACAUCUUCAUUUUCUCCUUCCCCUGCAAUUCUUUCUUCCUCCUUUUCCUUUCUCUCUUCCUCUCUCGCUUCUUCAUCUUCCUGUUCCUCCUUCUUCUCCCCCCUCCUAUUCCUAUUACUAUUCUUCUCCUCCUCCUCCUCCUAUCUCAUCAUACUCUUCCUCUUUCUCCUUCUCCUCCUCCUCCUCCUCCUUCUUUCGUUGAGUCUGCUGUGUAGGUCGACUCAUGGAAAACCAACCUCUGUUUUGAUGUUUAUUUUGCAUGGUUCAGCACAUAAAUUCCUGCUGAUUCACUGAACGAAAUCAGCGACCCCACAAACUGUCCUGUAUGCUGAAGGAAAAUUAGUAUCAGUUUAUGUUAUCUGUUGGUUCGUAGGAAAAAAACUUGUCAUUAUGAUUUAGUGUGUAUUUUUAAAGGCCGUGUGUUUAUGUCCCGGUCGGAUAGGAGUUAUAUUGGGUAUGGAUAAACAUUUUUUGAUAAGUUCACGUGAAAAAUGAACGUGUACAUCUUUAAGAGUGAGUUUAUGUUGGAAAUUCUUCAAAUUGAAAGUUGAACAUUUCGGGAAAUUCUUUAAAUUGACAGUUUUUUAGACAGUUUAUGAACAUUUGUUUAUUUUAUAUUUGACAGUUUAUGAACAUUAUUAUUAUUUUUUUUUUUUUUUGACAGUUUAUGAACCUUUAAGUUUCAUUUUGUAUUUGACAGUUUAUGAACAUUUCUGAAUAUUGAGAGCAUUGAGACUGCUGGUGCAACGGUGCCAUGUACUAAGAGAGACUGUAGAUCGUUUUCUAUGAUGUGUAUUCCAGUUUUGUGUUAUGAAAAUUUCGAUUUAUAAUUGGCUUUUUCUGGAGGGGGUUAGAAGGGAUUACUCAAAAUGCUUUUUUUAUACAUGUGCUUUUUUCCCGCCAUCCAUUAAUAACAAUGAGAAACUUAAGCCUUGCUUGUAUAUCUUUAACACCGCUUUUGGCAUCUUGACGUCACUAAUAGGCCUAUCAAAUCCUUACAUGUCAAUAUCUCAUUUAUCUUUAUCCAUAUUUAUUGACACUCUUCGACUGACUAUUAUUCCCUCUUUUAUCAAUUCCUUCUUAACAUUCCUCUUUAUUUGUUUAUUUCCAAGCACCUGCGACUAAGUGGGUGCCAGAGGUGAAUCUACACCUUGUUUGUAUAUAUCUGCGUGGUGGAAUUACCUUAAUAUUAUAGCAUAAAUCAGGUGAAUGUAUAAUGUAUAACUGUGUGAGACGAUGCAAGGGCAUACUUACUAAAUGAUCUCAAUAUUGUACAACGUGAGAAAAUUUUAUACAUCCAUGCGCCAACCGUCUAUCGUGAAGACUGCAAUAACAAAUCUUUACUUUUUAUGCUGCAAUGUAAACAAAAUAGCAAAUGUUCUCGCGCAUUUUAUUCUGUAUGUAUAUUUCGUCAUCCAAUCGUACUAGAACAAAUUGCAAUAACGAAGCCUUUUUGUUUUGUUUGUUCUUUGCUAGAACUAAAAAAAUAAUGUUUUACGCAUGUUUUCCUCUGUAUAUUUCGUCACCCAGUACUCGAAUUCAAACAGCUAAGGCAUAUAACCCAAAUGUCUAUUAAUAAACGUAAAUAACAUAAAUAACGAAACGUAUACAACAAUAUUACAAGGAUAACUUAUAUACUUCCCUGACAUAUUGUGAAACUAGUCGAGAGUUUGGAACCUGUUGGAGGGGGUACGUGCUUAACAUUUGUGUAUAUAGAGCGUUAGUAAUAAUGGAGAAAUUUAUACGACCUGACCCGUGAAUUCACUGUGCCAAAUUAUACAUUUUUUCUCGAGUCUUUUCAUCUUUUUUUUUCAUUUUUGUUUAUAUAUUUCUUCCAUGAGAAAUUGUACUUAUGUAAACAUUUGAUCUUUUUAUAUGUAUAUAUUGUGUAUGUGAUGAAGAUUUAAGUGAAAUAUAUAUGGACUUCUUCAA